rnacentral:rRNA from 1 species
UAAUGGCCCACCAAGGCGACGAUCGAUAGCUGGUCUGAGAGGAUGAUCAGCCACAUUGGGACUGAGACACGGCCCAAACUCCUACAAGAAUCAUCAGUGGGGAAUAUUGGACAAUGGGCGCAAGCCUGAUCCAUCCAUGCCGCGUGAGUGAUGACGGCCUUAGGGUUGUAAAGCUCUUUCGCUCGGGACGAUGAUGACGGUACCGAGAUAAGAAGCCCCGGCUAACUUCGUGCCAGCAGCCGCGGUAAUACGAAGGGGGCUAGCGUUGUUCGGAAUUACUGGGCGUAAAGCGCGUGUCGGCGCGUCUUUAAGUCAGGGGUGAAAUCCUGGAGCUCAACUCCAGAACUGCCUUUGAUACUGAGGAUCUUGAGUUCAGGAGAGGUGAGUGGAACUGCGAGUGUAGAGGUGAAAAUU